AAAGUACUCCCUCUGUACCAAAUUUUUUGUCUUAUAUUUGUCUAGAUACGGAUGUAUCUAACACUAAAAUGUAACUAGAUACAUCCUUAUUUAGACAAAUUUAAGACAAGAAUUUUGGGAAGGAGGGGGUAUAAA
rfam:Triticum aestivum genome assembly, contig: Triticum_aestivum_CS42_TGACv1_scaffold_474412_6AL